UCCAUGGCGCUGUGCGAGGCCGCGGGCUGCGGGAGCGCCCUGCUCUGGCCUCGCUUGUUGCUCUUCGGGGACUCCAUCACCCAGAAAAUGUGAUGUUCUGAAUCGUGGAUUUUCAGGUUACAAUACCAGAUGGGCCAAAAUUAUCCUUCCAAGAUUAAUCAGGAAAGGAAACAGUUUGGACAUCCCAGUAGCAGUUACAAUUUUCUUUGGGGCCAAUGACAGUGCACUAAAAGAUGAGAAUCCCAAGCAGCACAUUCCCCUGGAGGAGUACGCUGCGAACCUGAAGAGCAUGGUGCAGUACCUGAAGUCCGUGGACAUCCCUGAGAAUCGAGUCAUUCUCAUCACGCCGACCCCACUUUGUGAAACAGCCUGGGAAGAACAGUGCAUCAUACAAGGUUGCAAACUAAAUCGCCUGAACUCUGUUGUUGGUGAAUAUGCCAAUGCGUGUUUACAAGUGGCCCAAGACUGUGGGACUGAUGUACUUGACCUGUGGACCCUGAUGCAGGACAGCCAGGUACGGUGGCUUGCUCGGUCCUCUCGGGGUAAAUAGGAUCACACAGAAGUAAACCAGGUGUGUGUGCAGCAGCUUUCCCUAGAAAGGCCCUGCUUAGCUAAGACAGUCAUCCCUUUAGCCAAUGAAAACAAACAGGCUUGGGGGAGGGGAGGAAUGGAGGUUCCAGGAUGGCUCACAAGCCCAGCAGCUUAAUUCAGCCAGGCUCCUUGGCUAGGAGUUAGUGCGCAGUGACAUCAAUGAGCAACACAUGGCUCAUAUUUAUGAACGUCCAGGCCAAGUUCUUCUUUCAUACAGAGAACGGCAGAAAGCUAAAACUUGUUAAUAGGUAAAACAAUGAAUUUAAAUACAGUAUUGGCUAAUAAAACUGUUUGAGAUAUGUAGUUCUAAUUAAGUUACUUUGUUUUAAAGCCUGAAAGCACAAAUAUAAAAGGUAAAAAGCAGGUCCCAUAGAAUGGUGCACUGACUCAGGAGACAGCUGGUUUCUUACGCAGUCACACAUACACUUAGGGAGGACCUGGCAGUCCACUCCUGGGUUAUCUGCCCUAGAGAAAUGAAAACUAUGUUCACACAGAACCUGGGUGUAACUGUUGACAGCAGCAUUAUUCCUACCUGCUGGAAACACGCCAGUGUCCUUCUGUGAUGAAUAGGGAAACUGGUGUGUCCGUGGAAUGGGAUACUACUCGGCAAUAAAGAGGAGGAACUGACAAGCGCAGCAACGUGGGUGACUCUCGAGGUGCUUCACUGAGGGAAGGAAGCUGGUCUCUGAAGGUUACUUACUACAUGAGUCCAUCUGUUUUGGUGUCUCAAAAAGGCAAGACUUGGGCUGGGUGUGGUGGCUCACACCUGUAAUCCCAUCACUUUGGGAGGCCAAGGCAGGUGGAUCACCUGAGUUCGGGAGUUCAAGACCAGCCUGGCCAACAUGGCGAAACCCUAUCUCUACUAAAAAUACAAAAAUUAGCUGGGCAUGGUGGAGCGCGCCUGUAAUCCCAGUUACCCAGGAGGCUGAGGUGUGAGAAUCGCUUGAACCCGGGAGGCAGAGGUCACACCACUGCACUCUGGUCUGGAGGAUACAGGGAGACUGUCUCACCCUCCCCAGCCCACCCCCCAAAAAAAGGCAAGACUGCAGUAACAGAACAGGUCCGUGGUGGCCAGAGGUUAGGGCAAGGAAAGGUAUGGCUAAAUUCAGGUUCCACACAGAUACUGGUGAAGAGGGGCAGACAGGCACUGGUCUUUUUUAAUUUUUCUGUGACCUUGUGCUACUCUUCUGUAAAGAGCUUGUUCAGUAGGGCACAUUAAAGGCUAUUUCAUUGCUAUGCUGGGAUCCAGAGAGAAAGCUUGGACGGGACUGAUGAUAUUUGAAGUACUCAAGGGAAGGAAGGAUCCAGUGUGCGGGAAGCUCUUUGGACAAACGGGAAGACUCACAGCCUCACCGGUUUCCUCUAUUCCUAGCUGUUAGGUUUAGGCUACUUGGACAAAGCAACAUAGAAAACAGCCAAGAAACUAACCCAAGUGCCAACUUUUUCCUCUCCCCUAAAUAUUAAUCCAUACCAAUCGUUCCAAUGACCUACACAUUUAUUAUCCAUCUGUAAUAGGGAAAAUGGUCACCAGUGGGAAAGUCAUACUACCACGUGGAUGCCGAGUCACCAGUCACCUUUGGAGGCCCUGAGAGCCUAAGCAGAUCUGGACCCUAGGCCUCUAGUCUUCCUCUGAAACCCUGAGUGUACUGGAACCUUCAGAAUUCCCAGAUCAGGAGGGGCCUUGGCAGCUUGAGUGCCAAAAGGGUCAACAUCUAGAGUUCUGUUGUCUAGGAAAGGAAACUGCAAACUAUUGGGCUAGUUUUGCUCACAUGUCUUUUUCAAUUUAAUACAAAACUGAGAGGGUCGUCCUUAGAGAUCAUCUCAUCUCAAACUGCCUAGAUGAGAAAACCAAGGCCGAGGAAGAAGUGCUACUAUUAUAUGAUAGCAUCUAAAUUUCUGGUCUAUUAAAAGUCACAUAAGGCCGGGCGCGGUGGCUCAUGCCUAUCAUCCCAACACUUCGGGAGGCUGAGGCAGGUGGAUCACCUGAGGUCAGGAGUUCGAGACCAGCCUGGCCAACAUGGUGAAACCCCAUCUCUACUUAAAAAUACAAAAAUUAGCCAGGCGUGGUGGCAGUCACCUGUAAUCCCAGCUACUUGGGAGGCUGAGGCAGGAGAAUCACCUGAACCCGGGAGGCAGGGGUUGAAUUAGGCCGAGACUGUGCCAUUGUUCUCUAGCCUGGGCAACAAGAGUGAGACUCCAGCUC
rnacentral:sRNA from 1 species